GACGAACGCUGGCGGCGUGCUUAACACAUGCAAGUCGAACGGAAAGGCCCUGCUUUUGUGGGGUGCUCGAGUGGCGAACGGGUGAGUAACACGUGAGUAACCUGCCCUUGACUUUGGGAUAACUUCAGGAAACUGGGGCUAAUACCGGAUAGGAGCUCCUGCUGCACGGUGGGGGUUGGAAAGUUUCGGCGGUUGGGGAUGGACUCGCGGCUUAUCAGCUUGUUGGUGGGGUAGUGGCUUACCAAGGCUUUGACGGGUAGCCGGCCUGAGAGGGGGACCGGGCACAUUGGGACUGAGAUACGGCCCAGACUCCUACGGGAGGCAGCAGUGGGGAAUAUUGCACAAUGGGCGGAAGCCUGAUGCAGCAACGCCGCGUGCGGGAUGACGGCCUUCGGGUUGUAAACCGCUUUCGCCUGUGACGAAGCGUGAGUGACGGUAAUGGGUAAAGAAGCACCGGCUAACUACGUG
rnacentral:rRNA from 1 species